UUGUUUUAUUGCUCCCAGGAUUAAUUUUUCUUGGGAAGGGUUUGGACAUGGAACUAUUUGGUGGCAGAAAGCUCACAGUCCUCUUUAGAUCUUUUGGCAGAAUUUAAGCCACGAUGAUAUCCAACUCUCAAGCAAGUGGUCGUAUGAAAAAGUCAUUCUGUUCCAUUAGAGUGUCUCUUCUGUGGUAUUUCAUGUUUUCUCAGCACAGAUUUUUCCUCAUUUGAGCCUCCCUCUCCUUGCAGAUGUGUGCAAUCUAAGCAACUUUGUCUUUUGUCUAAUACAGGAAAAGCCUGCUAUUCAUGGUGUGUAGCUGAAGAGUGGAUUGGAUAGUGUCAUGGCAGCACAGCAGUUCGUACUGUUGUAUUUAGUGAUGGGGAAUAUCUGUAGAGACUUAAAAAAAUAAAAUAAAAUGGAGAAAUACAACUUAAAUGUGUACAGGCGGCAUAAAUGUAGUGGAGGAUGGACAAGCAGGAGCUGGGGCUUUUAGGAGACACUGGCUAUUCAGAACAGAUCAUCAUCCUGGGAGAUCUCAGUCACUUCAUCCGUGAGACCAAGCACCAGAUGUAAGAUUUACAGUUGCUGUGAAAUCACCUCUGCUUGAAAAGCUCUUGCAAGUUACCUCUCUGGGAAUCAUCAAACUUGCCAUUUUGGAGAAUACAGAUCACUGUCAGCCAUAGGUACGGCCUCAUGGAAAAUGAGAGACACUGCAGUGAAUCAGCCCCCAGACAUCACAGGAGAGGCUUCUGAAGAGACCUUCAGCACAGCUCUGUGGAGACACCGCCUGUGCUGGGGUGAGGAACCCCCCUGGCAGAAGUGAGUGAGUGCAUGAACGAGGGGAGGAGUACGACUGCCUGUCAGAUUCACGAGGCAUGGAAGAGGGCCACCAGCAGCGAACGGCUUCAGCAAAGUCAAGCCACUUCUUUCCAAGGCCUCAGACAUUAGUCCACGCCGAAUCUGACCAUCUGAGUUCCUUGGAAGUGAAUGUAAAUGCCUACAUGAAGACCAAGAAAGCUGGACUUUUUGUGAAACAUUAGUAAUUAUAUGGUGGUAGCACUCAGGAACUGCUGACCAUGGAGUAAACACAGUUUCUGCCUGAAGGCUGGAAGGUACAGUUCUGUACAAAAAAUACUUCAUAGAAGUUGUGUUACCAUCAGUGUGGUCUUGCUCUGCAAAUCUACUUAAUCUAUGUAUUUAGAGUCAUGUGCGCUUUAGUGACGUAAUAAAGGUCAGUUAAUUCUUUUCCCUA